CAGCAUCCACUACGGACUACGAGAAAUAGAAUUAUCGGUAAGUAAAUUCUUAUUAUCUAUGGUAAUAGUACAGGGACAUGACUGUGGAGGUGAGGGGAUAUUUACAGUGAUAUUUAUGUCUCCCCCAUUUCACAGAGGUGUGAAGAAGACAUCUGGUGAGCGUGAGACACCCAGCAGCCAUGCUCAUGUGUCAGGAGGACUGAGCAGGUCCCAGAGCACCAUCAUGGUGCCUCCACCUCACUCACUGAUACAUGAGAGACACAGUGACCAGAAGAUCCAGGAACUCACCAACAAGAUCAUUCCACUGCUGACUGGAGAGGAGGGGGAGUAUAUAGAGGAACACAGGGGUCUGUACAAGGACUUGAUGAUGGAGAAUCACCGGCCCCUCACAUCACUGGAUGGGCCCAGUAACAGAGAUACCCCAGAGAGAUGUCCCCGUCCUCUGUAUUCCCAGGAUUGUACAGAGGAGAAUUACAGGAUCCCACAGGAG